rnacentral:rRNA from 1 species
AUUGAACGCUGGCGGCAGGCCUAACACAUGCAAGUCGAGCGGAUGAAGGGAGCUUGCUCCUAGAUUCAGCGGCGGACGGGUGAGUAAUGCCUAGGAAUCUGCCUGGUAGUGGGGGAUAACGUCCGGAAACGGGCGCUAAUACCGCAUACGUCCUGAGGGAGAAAGUGGGGGAUCUUCGGACCUCACGCUAUCAGAUGAGCCUAGGUCGGAUUAGCUAGUUGGUGGGGUAAAGGCCUACCGAGGCGACGAUCCGUAACUGGUCUGAGAGGAUGAUCAGUCACACUGGAACUGAGACACGGUCCAGACUCCUACGGGAGGCAGCAGUGGGGAAUAUUGGACAAUGGGCGAAAGCCUGAUCCAGCCAUGCCGCGUGUGUGAAGAAGGUCUUCGGAUUGUAAAGCACCUUAAGUUGGGAGGAAGGGCAGUAAGUUAAUACCUUGCUGUUUUGACGUUACCAACAGAAUAAGCACCGGCUAACUUCGUG